rnacentral:rRNA from 1 species
AUUGAACGCUGGCGGCAGGCCUAACACAUGCAAGUCGAACGAGUGGCGGACGGGUGAGUAAUGUCUGGGAAACUGCCCGAUGGAGGGGGAUAACUACUGGAAACGGUAGCUAAUACCGCAUACCAUCAGAGGUGCCCAUAUGGGAUUAGCUAGUAGGUGGGGUAAUGGCUCACCUAGGCGACGAUCCCUAGCUGGUCUGAGAGGAUGACCAGCCACACUGGAACUGAGACACGGCCCAGACUCCUACGGGAGGCAGCAGUGGGGAAUAUUGCACAAUGGGCGAAAGCCUGAUGCAGCCAUGCCGCGUGUGUGAAGAAGGCCUUCGGGUUGUAAAGCACUUUCAGCGAGGAGGCGUUACUCGCAGAAGAAGCACCGGCUAACUACGUGCCAGCAGCCGCGGUAAUAC